UGUACUGUGGUUUCAAAGAGUAAUGUUUCAGAUGCAAUAAACAACGUUAGAGGAAACAUGGCUCUUGUUAAAGAAAAUGCUGUUUCAGGCUAAAGUCCCAGUGAUCAUAAAAGAUAUAUGAUGCAAUAAACAAAAUGAACCACAGGCAAGACAGGUCCAUUCGAUGACUAACCUCUGAUUGAAUUUUCCAACACUCUUUGACAUUCUGUGAGAUAAACUAUUCAGAAAGGUUCCUAUUAAAUAUAAGGUUGUAAUUUCUUUUUCUUUUUUUUUUUAUAAUUUUUAUGGUGAGGUCUAAGAACUGUGUGAAUGUCUCCUAUUGGUUGUUUGUGUUUUUGAAUAUUUUAUGAUAUGGGAAGACAGGCAAACAGUUGCUAUGAUUGUCAAAUGUCUUAAAUCAAGUAGAGAAAAUGCAAUAAAACACAGUUUCCAUGGCAACACAUUGUAACCUAGUACCUCUGGAUUAUGAACCAGCUCACAUCUAUGAUCAUUAUUUGUUGACAAGCAUAAAUUGAGCCUAAAAGCAUAAAUUUCCAAGAUAAAACUGAAAGCUUGAGCUCAGUAAUAAUAAUAUUUAAAUAUUUCCAAGGUAGUGGCAGCAAAUCAAGACUAGUUAUGUUGUCAUUUGCAUAGUGUUAAUAAGCUAAAUGAAAAUGCUUUUAUUUUCAACCCUUUCAAGAAAGAUGUAAUAAAUACAUACAUCUCCAAGCCUACUAAUAGUAACUGAUUGUAGUCUGUUGUGCCUUGCUGAAGGAAUACAGAAUGAUACACAAGACUUUGCAAUAAAAUACUUUAAUUCUGAGUUGCAGUUGUUUGACAAAAAACAGGAGAAAAAAAAGAACAAAUAUUUGAACACCUGAUUGUUAACACCAUCUCCUCUUCUUUGCAGUGUUUUCCCUGUUGCCCAUUGGAUGUUUUUGUAGGUCACCAUGACACACUAAAGCAGAAAAAAGGAAAUUAAGUUUGCUGGCAGAAUUUACGUAUGUCUUUCAUCACCACAUACGUUUCAAAAGCAGAAAGGCUUCUUGGUCAGCAGCACAGGGUCAGUGUGGUGCAGAGCUUCUCUUCCUGAGCAGCAGUGACCUGAUACAACCACCUUUUCAAGGCAGAAAGUGCCUGUGAAGACCCAGUACAUGCCUUGCUUUCUAGAAUAGAGAUGGAGAGUGGCAAGGGGCAGUGCAGGGAUUGUCAGCAUAUUCUGGCCCUGCUGCCACAAAGAGCAGCCAUCAACACUGUCCACAGCCUGGCAGGACACACGGAGAACUGGCAGGACACACGGAGAGCUGGCAGGGCUGAGGAAUGUGGAGCUGGAUCCAUGGUGUAUGAUGUAAAGUCUUAUUAAUGAAGAAGCAAUCUGUGAUCAGCAUCUGAGAGCUCUUUAUGCCCUGUGCUAACAAUGUUUUGAUAUAGUCUCCCCCCUCUCCCUCCCCCAGCUGGCUUCCCGUGUGUGCUGGAGCCCUUGCUGGCAGCCUGCCCGGCGAGCAGCGCUCCUGUAGAUUUCAGCCUCUCUCCAGGAGUUGCCUGCCUUCAGCAUAAUGGGCAACAUUGAAAGCAGCAAGGCGUUCGGUCGGCAAGGUCAGAGUGCCUUUCAUUCCUGCAAUAAUCAACCAGUGUAGCUCUUCCUCAGACCUGGGGAGAGAGAAGAUAGAGGUCAAAAGAGCAAUUACAUUUCACGUUGACUCCAGGAAAGGCUUGGAACACAAAACUGAAAAGAAAACAGCACAGAGCCUCCCUCUCCCACAUUCCUUUUCCUGGUCAUUAUUAUUAGAACAGUGCAGCAACCAUGUCCAUUAUCAGCACUAUAACAUGAAGAACCAUUUUCCUCCUGUGGAUGAGAUCUUUCUUCUCAGAUGUUUAGUGCUGUCAGCAUCUUGCAAAGGAAUGUAAAUGAGAAACACCAUGUAUAACCAGAGACAUGGCUACCAUUUGCUAGAAGAAUAGUUAUGAAGUAGGAGUUCUGGAAUGUGUAUCACUGUGGAAGACUUGGCCCUAAAAGGAAGGUUUAGGAUGGUCAUAAGAAAAGGCCAUCCUGUACAACUAAGAAGAGAUUAAUAAAGAGAGUGCUUAACUGAAUGACUUAAUGCUGUGAACAGAGACAGAAAGGAGAAAAAUGCAGCUCUUGUAACUUAUUGCUAAGUCUGCAUUGCCUGUGUGUUUCCACUCCUAGUUUAUUUAUAAGUUCUGUACCAGCAGUAUACAGAACUUAUAAAUAUUGUCUAAUUUAUAAGACAAAAGAAUCCAUGGAACCCUUGUGUCAUGAAGCCUCAUAAUUUAUUGACAAUCUUAUGCUGCAGGAUUAGGCACCUGUAAACUGGCAGCGCUGCCAAAAUCACAGCCAUUCCCAUGCACACCUCACGCUCCCAUUCCCUCCACUGUGCUGACCAGCCGCCUGCCAGAAGCAGCACUUGGGAAGCAGAGACUAAAAGCAGAUAAGGGAACUGAUCCAUCUGAAACACAUGGAGACAGACAAGGUCUGUCUCUGAGCUGUAUCAGUUUCCUGAUCCCAGCUCACGGCACAGCACAUAAGUGCUUUUGGUGGCUCUGUCUGCAAGGUGACACCAGUCUGGAGAGGAUCAGCUAGCAGCUAAGAAGUCAGAGACCCCUGCAGCAGCAGGAGCGGCAUAUGGACCUCAUAGUAUGGCUUUAACCUCCUGACAUACUUCUGUGAUCUCUUUCCUCAACUCUUCUCUACUUAAGGGAAGCUGACAUUAUAGCAAACAAAAUCCAAUGGUUCAUUGGCUAAGUGUGUCUGACAGCAGCAUUAGAACUGCUCAGAGAUACAUUCAUGACUGUGAUUCACCUUGCUUAACUGCAUACCUUGUGAGAUGUAGUGUUCCUACUUUAUAUGUCUCAUGGAAGUGUUCAAACUGUGGUCUCAGUGCAUGAAGAGAUGGUGAGCAAGGCCUUGAUGUGUACUAGCCAAGGAAAGGUGAGGUGUCCCAGCUGACCUCAGUGACUGUAGCAGAGCUCUGGGUAGACCUCAUUUACUGAAAUCAGCAUUUGGAUAGCUGACUGACAGAAGUACUUCUUUCAAACAAGAAAGUCUAUUAGACACUGCUUAGUCACUAUAAGGAAUAGCUUAGAAUAGUACCAACUUCCCAAACAGCACAUGAUAUAGUUCAGUCUUUAAAAAAAAAACCCCAAAACCAGCAACCAAAAAUAAAAAACCCAAAAACUUACCCAUAAAAGUCAGGAAAAAAACUCACAUCAACAUCGUUUAGAACAGGAGAAAGAUCAAUAGUCUGUAAAAUGUAUGUGCUCUGUUUAUGGAAAACUAAGCAAUAUAAAACAUAUGGCAAUGCCACAUGGAAAGAAAUAUUUCAAAAAAUAUUUGCUAUAGGCAUAAGCCUGUCAAGGGAAGAGUUAGUGAUGGAGCUCUUUAAACAAUGUUAAGCGUUUCAAUCCAGAUUUGACCUCGUUUUGUACCUUCAUCUCUUACUGAUUGAAAUUAUUUAUUUAAUUCCAUUUUAUUUUAUUUCCUGGUAACUCUCCAGACUUCUUGGAAUCCUCUAAAACUUAAUACUCAAUCAGAAAAUGUAGUAUUUCCCAGUAAAAUCCCUUAUUCAUUAAAUUGCCUAUUAUGAAUUUUCCUGUUAACAGAUUCUCACAGACUCCUGAAGGAGGUCUGGCAAUAGCACAUCAUAAAAAAUCAGCAAAGUCUCCUGUAAUCUUCAACUCGUUCUCUUACAAACUUGCAGACUUGCUAAAUACUUACAAAAGAUAUGAAAGAUUUUGUGGCAUGCCCCAAAGAGUAAUGAAUAUACAGUAUGGGAUGUGGAUGAAACUAGUAGGCUAAACUUCUGCAAAAUCAAGAUUUCUAUUGACAGAAACUGCUCAUGGAACUGAAAUUAUUUCCUUUCAGGCCAAUUGUUACCUGACUAUGACAACCUAUAGAAAACUAGGAGGUGAAAUUCUCCUUGAGGAUAACUCAAAAAUGUCUCUGUGCGCAAUCCCUGAAUCUCCAGCUAUGUCUUUCCAACAGUAUCUCAAUCUCCAUAAAUUCCAUCAAGACUUGCUUUAACAGUGCUGGCUGCCAGUGCUGGUUCCCAGUGCUGUUGUUUGAAGGGAUUCCUGACCUCUGAUCACAUGGGAGAAAACCCAGCUUCUAAGAACACACAUCUGGAAGCACGGUAAUAAACAGCAUAUGCUCACGCUGGUCCUUCUCUGCCAUUUCACCUGCACAUUGUCAGCGGGCAAAGUGCCACCUUUGCCAUUCAGACUGAAACAGAAGAUGGCCCAGCUUCUGCUGUCACAACAUUUAUGUCAGUGCUUCAAGUCACAACUUCAUGUCUUCUCAUGUUUGCCGCACCGAAGUUAAAAGACGGGUAACCUGCAUGUACUACAGCAUGUAAUUGCAUUGCAUGUUUGAUGGUGAAACAAGCUGAGGUGUUCUCCCCUCCAUCUGUCCUUGGCUGCUUGCUUGUACUUUCACACAAUUAGGAAAUUGCAUCAUAAUAACAUUAAUAACUAAAAAAAAAAAAAAAAAAAAAAAGCUGGCAUUACUGUUUUAGAGGACAUCUCGAAUAUUUUGAUGAAAAAAUUGCCUUCAGAUUCAUUGCUGUAAAAGAAGCAGUAGUUACCUCUGGGAUGAAGAACCUUGAGAACUGCUGAGGAAAAGUGAGAACCUAGAAGAAAAUGUAUUUAGGGAAAAUCUGCUUAUUGUGUCCCAGCAUUAUACAUUUUAAAUAAAUUCACAAGUGGCGUAUCAAGGAAAAUUGUAAUUCAUUUUUUCUGGUGGUGUUUUCCAGCUUAAGAGACAGUUAUGACCUUUCAAACAUAGAUUUCCAUAUACUGUUGUUAUCCCCAAAUUAUGGUUUAAAAGAUUGUUGUAAAUUCUGCAGGAGCUAUAAUGGAUACUAGGAAGUUCUCAGAAAUAAGUUACAGCCCAGUUCUUACACCACAGAGUGCAGUUAUCUCAAAUAUCUGUCAGGACAAAAUAUUUUAAUUUAUUACAAAUAAAAGCAGUUAAUCAGCAAAGUCUUGGGGAAAAUGAAAAAGCUGUGAAAGAGUAGUCCAGAUGAACACCUUAUAUGCAUGAGAACAGACUAUUAUUUUUUUCCCCAAUAAAGGUAGGCAUGCAAGUGCUUCAGAGGGGGUAAGCAAAGAUGCUAAAGUCUUUUUAGUGACUCCUUAUAUGGUUGCCAAAACUUCCGGAGCUUCUUCUUUGUCCUAGUUUCUCUCAGUUAGCAUUCUUUAGUCCCAAAUGAAAUCCCUUUGAAGACUUUAUAAAAUCCAGGAAUAAUAUAAUUCACUUUUUAUGUGCAAAGGCCAGAGGUGCUUCUCAGUAUAGCUCCUCAAAAGUGUGACUUGGAUGUCAGGCAAGACUGUCGUGCUGCGCAUUGAAUCCUGAGCUUUCCAGAAUGUGAGGGGGAGGUUUUCUCAAACUCAGUGGACAUUCAUCUAAUCCCUAAGCCAAUGAAUGAAUAACACAAAGAUAAAAUUGAUAUAAAUACUGAUAAUUUUAUUUUACUGUUUAUUUGUAUAUCAUAUUUUGAUAUAACUAUAUUUAAUUUAUUAUUUGUUAAUUAGGCAUUUUCAUUAUUAGCUUACUUAUUUUAAUAUAAAUGUAAAUAAUGAAACUAUUUAAAACAAUUUGGGGGAUUUUUAUUUUUGGAAAACAAAUCUAUACUGGAGACAUCGUCUGAAGAAAAUCUCAGUAGUUCUUUAAAACAUUUCUCAAGAUCAAAAAUACUGCAGUUGAAUUUGUAAUGUUGAUUUGCUCCAUUUUUUUCCCCAAUAAAAUGUCCAGAAUUUAAUUUUUUGUUUACAUGGUGGUUUACAAGACUAUUAUUGAGAGCAAGAAGCAAUUGAAAACAGCAAUUAAUGUCUGAGUGUGAAGAUCUGCCAUCUUCAAAUUUUCUAUGCUUUGCUCAUGAGGAAAAGUAGAAUUGAAAAUACACCAAACAAUGUGCAAUGAAGCUUGGUCUACUCAUUUAGAAAUUCAAGAUUGUAGCAUGAUGUCCUCACCUUCUAGAUUCCACGGCAUCAUAGACAGACUUGUCAAUGAUGGAUGCUAUUCAGUCUGACUCGGAAUGGUAAUUUUCCUCCCCUUUCAGUAUACAAGACAGAAAGGCAAGAAAAGAAACUUCAGUAUAAUUUCUUCAUGUGAGUUUUAACAAUCACUGAGUGAAAAGGUACUUCUUGAAUUUCCUUCAACAAUUUUCUUGUAAAAACUGAAUUCAACUUUUGAAAAAACUGAAUCAUUAUCCACAGAGUAGGUGGUGUAAUUUCAUUAUGAUCCACAUUUGCUCUUUUGCUUAAUAAGUGGAUGUAAGCCUCAUUUUAUCAGACAAAGCCAAUCCUUCUUUUAACAGUGAAAUCACUAAUGGCCUGAUAUUAUUUUCAUAAAUGUUUAAUUGCUGUCCUCUUUAGUGCCUUUCUUGCUGUUUACAGCUUUUGGCCAUUAUAUCUUUGCUUGUCUGCAUUCUUUUCAGUUUUCUACUUUUUCUUUGUCCUUCUUUCUUUCUGACUAAACAUCUUCCGAUGCUCCAUGGUACUGUAAUCAAUUGCAAUUAACUUUGCCUGCUUAUGUUUCUCCUUUUUAACAUUAGUACUCCAUUUACUUAUGUAGUCCUACUGUCUUCUAGCUCUGCCUUUGUGGACUAAUAUAACAAAAUUGUCUAAUAAGAUGUGUUGUGUCUGUCCCUUUCCAUGCAUAUAUGUACAGCACAAAGAAGAAAGAAUCAGAAAAAUUUCUAGACAACCUGUUCCCACUUUGUGGUACUGCUAAUCUUAUAUUAUUUUCUUUUAAACGAAAGAGCAGCAGCAAAAAAGGCUUAUGAGUACCUUAGACCAUACAUGCCCUAUCAUUUGGUGAUUUAGGUGGUGAAAAAGAAGAGGGAGGUGAUGGUUGAAUUUCCCUCAGGCUGGAGAGACACCUGAUGAGAUUACUUUCUGUGCAAGUUUUACACUUCCUAUUUAAAGGAGAGAGGAAUGAUCUUCAAAGGAAAGAUUUUAGAUAGCUUCCACAGGAGGAUGGAGACUUUUCCUCAGAACAAGGAUGCAGUGCCAGUUGUCUGGCGAGGAUGGUAGUCCAGCACUCUGUGUGCUGGCAGUGCACAUCCUUUUUGGGAUGUGCCUAGCUCCCCCCAAGCCAGCCAAAGGCACACCAUGCAGCUCACUCAAGGAACCCUCUCUAGCACCCUGGCCAAUUUAAAGCUAGAGCUGUUAGGAAAAUCUGGCCCUAAGUAAUCUGGGGAAGAGAUACCAUGAUAAAAUUUGGAAAAAAAUCCCUGAAUCAAAUCACUUACUUUUAGAAGGCUAUUCCUUACCAAACUAACAGAGAAAAUUAGGUUCUGCCUGACAAAGCAGGUAUUAAAACAGGCUGACUUACCCACUGAAGUCCAACAUUCCAGUUUAGCAUUUUUGGUAGAAAUACAGCAUGAUAUAGAAAGAAUACUGCCCUUAAAUUUGGCUACCUUGGGGAAUUAGAUUCCUCUGAUAUUCCAUUGUCACCUGUUCAUAAAAUACUUGACCUAUUGAUCUCAGAAUGGUAGUCAUAGUUAUAAAAAUGUAUAUUUCACUUAGGAAGUGUGUUAAUAUGACAGUGCAAUAACACCAAAGUAGGAGACAAGUUCUGUUUGAUAUUAGAACCAAGUUCUCUUCUGCAACGUUUAAAAUAGUUGCAUAUGAGCAAAUGCAGGUAGGAGUGAACACUGCUGACACUGGUGGAAGAAAGGAAAAAAUGGUAAUAUUUUGCCAGGAAACACUUUGUGGGUAAAUCAUUGUAGUGAGUAUAUGGAGGUUUUAUAUAACAUGACCAAUGAGGCUAUCCCUAAUGCAAUUCAUGAAUUUGCUGUAAACAGUCCAUGCUGAAAAUCAUACAGGAAUUCUUGUGUUAUAGAUACAAAUUGAGAUUUCUGAUCAAGGAUUCCAAUUUUAUUGGCUAGUUAGGUAAAUUGUUUAUCAUUUGCAUUUGCAAGGAUUAGGGAAUGUUGAAGGUGUGUUUUCACGUAAAAUUGUGUCUAGUUAGAUAUGUUAAUUGCUGAUUUCCUUGAGGGUCAUGAUACAAUAAUUUUAUUUUUUGGUACUCUUCAAGAAAAAUCCCAUGAACAAUAGUCAAAUUUUACCUCAAAUGUAGUGAGAGAAUUUUAUUUUGCUUUGCAGACUUUUGGAAGAACUGGGAAAGGCCUAAACCAGCUUGUGAUAGUAGACAAUUGUAAUAAAUAUUAUCAAAGUUCUAGGGGCAAUCUAUAACAUUUGUAGAUAAUUCCUCUCAAGUUCCAGCUCAUUUUUAAUUUAACCACUUGAAUGCUACACAAAAGCCAGCGUGCUCCAGUUGUCCUGGUAUGAAAAGAUCAGUGAAGAAAAGGAUGUUUUCUCCCAUUCUCCCAGCAAGGAGGAAUAUUUCCUGCACAGGUAGCAGAAGACACACAGCAAGGAAAGAAAUGAACAGAUGAAGGCAGCAGUAAAGAAGGAAGCAAAACCAACAAACAGACAAGCAAGAAGCAAGCAAGCAUUCUCCAUGAGACAGAUUACAGUCCUGGUUUCAAGAAUGCUUCUGUAAAAGAAUGCUUUCUUGUCAAAGAAAAAUCUCUGCAAACCAAUUUUGCCCUGGCUGUCCUUUGAACAAACAACUCUAUGGAGCCCUGGACCCUUUCUUAACUGCGGCUACUUGCCACAGAUUCACUGUGCCUUAUUUUUGAGUCAUGAAAAGGGAAAAAUGUGCACAAUAAGCAAAAUUAACAUGUGUAAUACAACAAACAAAGGUUCGUCUAGAAUCCUGGGGUUAACCACAUAUAAUAAUAAAAACGAAGAGUGGUAGUAAAAACAAUUACACUGCUAGAGUUGUAUAACAAACAAAAAUAUUUAUCACUGACAUUUCAGGUUAGAAUUUGGAAGGUCAAAUGUGCAAUCAUGCAGAAAAACCUCGCAUGUGGUAGCUUGUCUAACCUGUUGUGAGUUGCUGUAGCUGAGAGGGGAUCAGACUUGCUUCAUGCAAUUAUGUCCUGACAAUUACACAACUCCCCAUGUGCAAAUAUCAAAUUCACAUGCUCAGUCUUUUUUUAGAGAACAUACACACUUACAUGUGGAAUGCAUUUCUGACUCUUUGAAACAAUAAGAGUGCUCAGCUUGUAUUUUGUGAUGGAAAUUCUUGUCCAGAAAGUGGCAGGAACUUGAAGGCUGGGCCAUCACCUGCUUGGGAUUACAGGUGGCAGAAAAGCACUGAGUCCUACCCUUCACAUGUGUGACCUGCUCCAAAAUACUUUGCUGUAGCAAGCUAGCAAGCCUUUCACACAGAAUAACAAUAGGAGAAUAAAUUACAGGAAAAGAGUAAAGGAGAUCAAAGAUAAUUCUAUUCUCCAUUUUAAUUCUUAUAUAGGAGUGCAAACAAAUAGCACUAUUAUGGUUACUGAUUAAGAGAAUGUACUGGUUGGAAACCUGCAGAAACUCAGGUGUCACAAGCAAUAGAUGUGCAGCAUAAUAAAAGCCUCACCACUACACAAGUUUUCACAAUUUCUUUUGUCUUCCUCUGAUAGUUUAUGCACUACUAUUAAAUAGUGUGCUAUCAUAGUGCCCAGAUGUACUCUGAUGAAGUCCUCAGAGUUAUCUCUCCAAAGAAAACAAAGCUUUCCUCUCUAGCAGUUCCUUGCUAAUAUGAGGUUGCUCUUACAAGUGAAGGCUUUCAACCAAAAAUUUAAAACAUUCAGCUUUUUUACUCUGUAAAAUUAAGUGACCUAAUUUCACAAGACCUUUGUGAGUAAAUUUAAAAGAGUGGUCAGCUUAGCUGAUUUGGAUGCAUAAGCAAAGUGUGUAUGUGCCUCCAGAUGCCUGCAGAAUUUGUGUUUGUAAGCCUUAAGGUCUGCAAGUUCCUGUUUGCACAAACUUACAUGAGUGUUAACAUGCCUCAUGAGGCUAAAUAUGCUAGCCAAAAUCUACAAUGAAGAUGCCCUCAGAAGCCCUGUGUUAAGACAACUUCGUAGUCCUCAAGUAGCACAUCAGAGAUUUAUCACUGGACUGAAAGGGUCAGCAAAGGCUAGCUGUGAAUGGUCCCCUUGGCUCCGCUGCAGUUCCUGGGCCAGAGUGUUGCAGUGGCCUUGGCUUAACUUUCAUGUCAGGACUGACUGAACUGUGCUCAGACAACGGUGCUCACUACUGCACAGGCUGCUUCAGAGAAGACAGAGCUGUUCCUUCACCCCAGCUUCAUCCUUUGCCAUGCUGUGCCAUUGUGAAACAUCAAGAGGUGCUGAUUCCAAUAAGGGUCAUGUUGCUAAUAGGGGAGAAAAAAAAGAAAAGUGCUCUCUCUGCAAAAACUGCAUAUUAAACUUGUGAUGUUUAAUUUGAUUCUGCUGAGUGUGGGCUGGUAUGGACAGUUCCAGACUCAUACAGUGGAGGAUUUAAUGCCAUUACGAUAUAAUGAAAAUCUAAUCUCCACCCCUACAUCCUUGCAAAGAAAGAGAGCCAGGGCAUAACUGACUCGAGUGCCAACUCCCUGCAGUGCAGUUCCUGUCAAUCCAAUGUGUUAUAAUAUGAGAAAUGGGUGCUGAAAUGUUUAUGUCAAAUAGGGAGGUGUAUGAGUACUCUUAGCUGAGAUAAAACACAACCAAAAAGAGGUCGUUGAAAAGGCACACAGCUGCAUGCUAAGAAUCCCUCACUAUCUGUUCAGAGCUCCUUUGUUGCUGAAGGAAAGGGCAGCCAGCUGCCUGGGCAGCCUCAGCUGAAGUGGGAGUAGGUAUGGUAUAGUGCCCUGGAAAUCUCCAGGGCCAUGCUGAUUUGCAUCUGCUGAGUGUUCAGCAUGUCUGCAGAACAGCUGAUUUGUAUAUACAAGCUCCAUUAGAAAUUUAACUAAGUCUCACAAAUUCUGGUAUUUAAGUAAUUCAAAGAUUGUUCUUCAACCAGCUGUAUUUCCUAACUUAUCUGCAGCAGUUAGAACCAUAACAAACCUGUUCACAAACCUGCGGAGCUGUUCUCAGCUGUCUGGUUGGAGUAAACCUGCUCCCUGUGAGCAUAAAACAGCAGGUAUGUUUAUUGUGUGAGUAACAAGGUCACUGACCGUUCAGCUGUAGGAGCAAACUCGAUUAAGACUGGUGAUAAUCUUUUGAAAGACUGUAAUUUAUCUCCAUUUGAAGAGUAUUAUCUUUGUUCUACAGCUAUCACGGAGAACAAGGUUAACAAAUAUUCCAUGAUGAAUUUUUGAAAGCUUAAGUCAGAUCUUGUAUGUUUAAGCUUUCUAAAUGGCUGUCAAAGACAAGGAAACAAAGUGUCAAAUUUGUACACAGACCUACCUAAUGGCCUUUAUCUGAGAGAGUGGUUUGUGAUUUAUACGGUCUCUACCUUUACUUAAACAAUUUCUCUUUUGCUCUGUAGUGAAGGCAAUUUUAUAGCAUUACUCACGUGGGAGAGAUUAGCCCCAAAGACUGAUCGUACUGAAGGAAGUAGGAGAUUUAAAACACUCAGAGACAUGAUGCAAACCAUAUGAUAAUCAGCUUUUAUUACUAAUUGCUUCUGAAUUGUCAGUUAACUGUAUUUGGAUAUAAAAGUUAUAAGUGCAUUCUAUUUUAAAAGCGAUUUUGCUCAUAAAAAGCUUUCAAUUGUCCUUAACAUUUAAGUCAACUGUGACCUUCAAUGACAUUGCAUAAAUAUGAAUAAAAGUGCAUACUUUUUAUCCUUGAAUAAACAUUAACAACAUAGGUAAAUAAGAGAAAACUCUCUACAUGAUUUACAAAAUCAUAGAAAUUCUACUGUGAGCAAAACAGGAAAGAAAUUAGUCCUGGAUAUGCCUCCUGGAUAUUUUUUCUUUGAGAAUUAUUCUUGUAGUGUCUUUCUGGGAGUCUUGUUGCAUACAGAAUUGGUAUCUGGAUAACAGAUAGAAGACAGAUAUGUAGCUAAGCAUAAAUAUAAAUUAUGUAUAUGUGUAUGGGUAUGCAUGUGCUUAUGGAUAUAUAUAUGUACACAUACAUACACAUAAUAAGUAUGCAUUUAGGCAUCUAUAUCCACAGACAAUAUGUCUAUUUAAUCACAAGGUCUAUAAUUUCAGGAAUAUAUAAGAAAAUUGAAAAGUAGAAAAAAUGUAUCAAGACUAGGUUUCUUUGCACAUAUUCAUUCUGUUGAGAAUCUUGUGCAAUUCCUCUGGGAUCAAAUGCUCUCAACUGGUUUUUCACACUGUAGAUUGCUGGCUUUAGUGAAAAAGAUUUUAAGACUACUUAUGCAUGAAGAUACAUUAGUGCCACUCAAUUCAAGAAGUUGUAACUCCUCUGUUUUCCUCAGGACCUAGCAAUGAGACUGUGGCUAACAUGGUUUUAACUCUGCCAGCUGGCUUCCUGGUGAACCCUGCCACCAGUUUCAGCCAAUUUGUGGUUGCCAUUUGGUCUGAGAAUUAGCACUUGUUGAAAGUGCAUUAAGGCUGUCUUGCACUUUAAAACAGUGUUUUUCUCUGGAUCUUUUUUGAGCAACUGUUCUACUAUAGAUACCUUGUGGAAUUGCUAGAAAGGAUUGCGGACAUGGAUAAAAAUGUAGUCCCCAUGGUACAAUAUAGUCCUGUGGUUCAGGUGCACUAAUGUAUCAAGGAUCAACCUUGUAAUAUGAAAGAGAAAUUAUUAGACCAAUAUUUUCUGUUUCCAUACUGUCUAAUUUUUUUUUUUUUUUGGCUGUCACUGCUAUAGUAUUUGGCAAUGAGAAUGCAAUUCUUUUCAGGUACUUUGAUCCAAUCCAUAGUAAUUAUUAAUGAAUGAUGAGACUAAAACAACAAAGAAACACUAUGUUAACCUUUGGCUUGAUCUCAUCUCCAGCCCUUUAGCCUUCCAAACUCUUACUGACUUGUUAACUUUCAAUGCAAGAGAAGCCUGAAAAUUACAGCAGCCUUAAUUAUCUCAGGCAAUUUACCUUUCAUGCAAUUUUUGUUUCUUUAAAAGUAUGCAAACAAAGCUGUAGUGUCAUAGAGUGCAGACAAGGGAAUGGACAGUCAAUGAGAGGUGAAUAUUUCUCUGCAAGGGAAAAUGUUUCUCUGGUUCACAUUAUCUACUAGUUAUGAUGUUUGUGUUUUUGAUUCUGUAGUCUAAACGGUGAAAAGAGGAAAAAGACACCUCCUGUAUAUAUUUAUAUAAUAUAACACUUUGUGACUUACCAUGGAGUUACAUAGCCACUGGAGCUUGUUUAUAGUCCAAUAAAUAAGACCUUUCAAACCCUGUUUGAGAGGCUGUACUUUUUUAGCUUAACUAAAAUAUCUAGCAAUAAUGGAAAAUGAAACUAAUAUGUCAGUAUUGAAAAGAAAUAUUAUCAGUCCUGACUAAAAUCAAUGCUUUCUUCACAAAUUUUAUUUUAUCUUAUUUAUAGACCUUUCUAUUGCUCUCAUCUUCAAAUUACCUAUGGUUUUCAUAGAAACCAAUGAGGUUAGCAUCAGACAUCACCUGGGAGAUCAGAAAGAUUAGUGUCUUCAUUUUUCAGAUGAGAAAAUGGAGUCCCACCUUUCAGAUGUGGCUUCUUUCAGACCACAGAGAACACAGGAAACUGAACAAAAAUUGAUCAUCGUGAAAAUAUGAGUUGAAUUUCAGUUGUUCUACUUUUCAAUCCAACU